rnacentral:rRNA from 1 species
ACUCAAAGGAAUAGACGGGGGCCCGCACAAGCGGAGGAACAUGUGGUUUAAUUCGAUGAUACGCGAGGAACCUUACCUGGGCUUAAAUGCAGGCUGCAUAGGUCAGAGAUGGCCUUUCCCUUCGGGGCUGUUUGCAAGGUGCUGCAUGGUUGUCGUCAGCUCGUGCCGUGAGGUGUCGGGUUAAGUCCCAUAACGAGCGCAACCCUUACCGUUAGUUGCCAUCGGGUUAUGCCGGGAACUCUAGCGGGACUGCCACCGUAAGGUGAGAGGAAGGUGGGGAUGACGUCAAAUCAGCACGGCCCUUAUGUCCAGGGCUACACACGUGUUACAAUGGCCGGUACAGAGGGCAGCUACCUGGUGACAGGAUGCUAAUCCUAAAAGCCGGUCUCAGUUCGGAUUGGAGUCUGCAACCCGACUCCAUGAAGUUGGAUUCGCUAGUAAUCGCGCAUCAGCCAUGGCGCGGUGAAUACGUUCCCGGGCCUUGUACACACCGCCCGU